AUGAACGCUAGCUACAGGCUUAACACAUGCAAGUCGAGGGGCAGCAUUUUAGUUUGCUUGCAAACUAAAGAUGGCGACCGGCGCACGGGUGAGUAACACGUAUCCAACCUGCCGAUAACUCGGGGAUAGCCUUUCGAAAGAAAGAUUAAUAUCCGAUGGUAUAUUAAAACCGCAUGGUUUUACUAUUAAAGAAUUUCGGUUAUCGAUGGGGAUGCGUUCCAUUAGUUUGUUGGCGGGGUAACGGCCCACCAAGACUACGAUGGAUAGGGGUUCUGAGAGGAAGGUCCCCCACAUUGGAACUGAGACACGGUCCAAACUCCUACGGAAGGCAGCAGUGAGGAAUAUUGGUCAAUGGACGAGAGUCUGAACCAGCCAAGUAGCGUGAAGGAUGACUGCCCUAUGGGUUGUAAACUUCUUUUAUAUGGGAAUAAAGUAUUCCACGUGUGGGAUUUUGUAUGUACCAUAUGAAUAAGGAUCGGCUAACUCCGUGCCAGCAGCCGCGGUAAUACGGAGGAUCCGAGCGUUAUCCGGAUUUAUUGGGUUUAAAGGGAGCGUAGGUGGAUUGUUAAGUCAGUUGUGAAAGUUUGCGGCUCAACCGUAAAAUUGCAGUUGAAACUGGCAGUCUUGAGUACAGUAGAGGUGGGCGGAAUUCGUGGUGUAGCGGUGAAAUGCUUAGAUAUCACGAAGAACUCCGAUUGCGAAGGCAGCUCACUAGACUGCAACUGACACUGAUGCUCGAAAGUGUGGGUAUCAAACAGGAUUAGAUACCCUGGUAGUCCACACAGUAAACGAUGAAUACUCGCUGUUUGCGAUAUACAGUAAGCGGCCAAGCGAAAGCAUUAAGUAUUCCACCUGGGGAGUACGCCGGCAACGGUGAAACUCAAAGGAAUUGACGGGGGCCCGCACAAGCAGCGGAGCAUGUGGUUUAAUUCGACGCAACGCGAAGAACCUUACCAGGUCUUGACAUCCACUUAAACUUACAGAGAUGUAAGGUGUGCUUGCACAAAGUGAGACAGGUGGUGCAUGGUUGUCGUCAGCUCGUGUCGUGAGAUGUUGGGUUAAGUCCCGCAACGAGCGCAACCCUUAUUGCCAGUUACUACGUUAAGAGGACUCUGGCGAGACUGCCGUUGACAAAACGGAGGAAGGUGGGGAUGACGUCAAAUCAUCAUGCCCUUUAUGUCCUGGGCUACACACGUACUACAAUGGUGGUUAACAGAGGGAGGCAAUACCGCGAGGUGGAGCAAAUCCCUAAAAGCCAUCCCAGUUCGGAUUGCAGGCUGAAACCCGCCUGUAUGAAGUUGGAAUCGCUAGUAAUCGCGGAUCAGCAUGCCGCGGUGAAUACGUUCCCGGGCCUUGUACACACCGCCCGUCACACCAUGGGAGUCAGUAACGCCCGAAGUCAGUGACCCAACCGCAAGGAGGGAGCUGCCGAAGGUGGGACCGAUAACUGGGGUG
rnacentral:rRNA from 1 species